UGGCUCAGCUGGUAAAGUAUCCACCUGCAAUGUGGAAGACCUGGGUUCCAUCCCAG
rnacentral:tRNA from 1 species